CCUACGGGAGGCAGCAGUGAGGAAUAUUGGUCAAUGGGCGAGAGCCUGAACCAGCCAAGUCGCGUGAGGGAUGACGGUCCUAUGGAUUGUAAACUUCUUUUGUAGGGGAGUAAAACGAGCCACGUGUGCCGUUUUGAAUGUACUUUAAGAAUAAGGAUCGGCUAACUCCGUGCCAGCAGCCGCGGUCAUACGGAGGAUGCGAGCAUUAUCCGGAUUGAUUGGGUGGAAAGAGUUGCGUAGGGGGGAUAGUAAGUAGCUGGGGAAAUCUGGUGGGUCACCCAUUCAGACUAUUGGUGAAACUGGUAAUCUCGAGAGAGUGAGAGGUAACUGGAAUGUCUGGUGUAGGAGUGAAAUGCGUAGAUAUUAGGAAGAACACCAAUAGCGUAGGCAGGUUACUGGCACGGAACUGACGCUAAGGCACGAAAGCGUAGGGAGCAAACGGGAUUAGAUACCCCUGUAGUC
rnacentral:rRNA from 1 species